GGGCCUUUAGCUCAAUUGGUAGAGCGCCUGCUUUGCAAGCAGGAUGUUGUCGGUUCAAGUCCGGUAAGGUCCA
rnacentral:tRNA from 1 species